rnacentral:rRNA from 1 species
AAAAACAUCGCCUCCUGCAACAAAACCAAGUAUAGGAGGUCCAGCCUGCCCAGUGACCACAAGUUCAACGGCCGCGGUAUUUUGACCGUGCAAAGGUAGCGCAAUCACUUGUCUUUUAAAUAGAGACCUGUAUGAAUGGCUAAACGAGGGCUUAACUGUCUCCCCCCUCAAGUCAGUGAAAUUGAUCUAUCCGUGCAGAAGCGGGUAUAAUAAUACAAGACGAGAAGACCCUUUGGAGCUUAAGGUACAAGACUCAGCCACGUCAAGCAACUUAAUAAAAAGCAAAAACUUUGUGGAGUAUGAUAUUUUACCUUCGGUUGGGGCGACCACGGAGGAAAGAAAAGCCUCCAAGUGGACUGGGAGAACUUCCUAAAGCCAAGAGAGACAUCUCUAAGCCGCAGAACAUCUGACCAAACAUGAUCCGGCAACAAAGCCGAUCAACGAACCAAGUUACCCUAGGGAUAACAGCGCAAUCCUCUCCCAGAGUCCAUAUCGACGAGGGGGUUUACGACCUCGAUGU